rnacentral:RNase_MRP_RNA from 2 species
GGGCAGGGUGGCGAGGUGCUUCGGUCACUCUGAGAUUAGAGACCGAGGAAAGUCCCCGGGCCAAAUAUAGCAGAAAUUGCAUUCUUGAAAGAGCAGGUCUUAGCUUUGGAGAACAUCUGUCGUCCCUAGUGGGCGGGGCUGAGACACGUGUGGAGCCUUUACAGAUGAUGCUCGGCGAAGCAGCUGGCCAUGAUUACAGUAAUGCACCUUGUCGAAAUGUUUGACCAACAGAAUGGGGCUUACGCCCACCCUGCC